rnacentral:rRNA from 2 species
CAAAGCAGCAUCGCGGUGGCGGAGCGUCGUUUGCGACGCCCAACACACAAAACAAGCGGUGAGUGCUUUGGGGUGGGGUGACUGCGUACCUUUUGUAUAAUGGGUCAGCGACUUAUAUUCUGUAGCAAGGUUAACCGAAUAGGGGAGCCGGAGGGAAACCGAGUCUUAAUUGGGCGUUAAGUUGCAGGGUAUAGACCCGAAACCCGGUGAUCUAGCCAUGGGCAGGUUGAAGGUUGGGUAACACUAACUGGAGGACCGAACCGACUAAUGUUGAAAAAUUAGCGGAUGACCUGUGGCUGGGGGUGAAAGGCCAAUCAAACCGGGAGAUAGCUGGUUCUCCCCGAAAGCUAUUUAGGUAGCGCCUCGUGAAUUCAUCUCCGGGGGUAGAGCACUGUUUCGGCUAGGGGGCCAUCCCGGCUUACCAACCCGAUGCAAACUGCGAAUACCGGAGAAUGUUAUCACGGGAGACACACGGCGGGUGCUAACGUCCGUCGUGAAGAGGGAAACAACCCAGACCGCCAGCUAAGGUCCCAAAGUCAUGGUUAAGUGGGAAACGAUGUGGGAAGGCCCAGACAGCCAGGAUGUUGGCUUAGAAGCAGCCAUCAUUUAAAGAAAGCGUAAUAGCUCACUGGUCGAGUCGGCCUGCGCGGAAGAUGUAACGGGGCUAAACCAU